AGACUGCAUUUGGCAUGUCCAGUUAAAUAAAUACAGGGGGG
rnacentral:sRNA from 13 species